UUCCAGGCUACCAGGAAUCAUUGAGGAAACGAGGAGAUCAGGGGAGUCAACAACCUCAACUCUGGAAAGUGAAACCUGGGCGAUGGAAAGCCUUGAGACUGAACUAUUUGAUAAUGUCCGUGCUUCGAUCCAGAGAUCUCUUGGCAAACCUGAUAAACUUUUAGGUCGGCCCGUUGCUGCCUCAACCCCCCCAAAGGCCACAGCAAAUGCACCUCGUGUUGCAGUAGCAUUAGCAGAUGAAGAGGCGGAAUAUUCUUCUUGGGAUAGUGACGACGAGUACCAGAAAUUCAUCCAAAACAUCAAUCGAUUCCUGACUUAACCUCCAAGAGACAGUAAUGGAGGAGGCCUCGCUCGGGACGGUGGCGGAGCCACUGCUGGUGAGCGCAAUCAGAGGGAAAAAGGUCGAGAGGGCACCAAUCUGGCUCCUGAGGCAAGCCGGGAGGUACAUGAAGAUGGCAAGGACACAGAAGAACAAAGCCACUGCUCACCAUCUUGGUCUUCUGAAGCAAAAAGGGGUCAACAUUUUGAAGCAAGAAGGGGUCAAAUUUGGGAGCUUUGACAUCCUUACAGAUAAUGAUGUUCGUGAAGUGGUGAAUUGAAGGAUGUUUUUGAGGAGCACAAUAUUCCCCUCAAACCACAGGGUAGCAAAAAUGAAGAAGCAGGUCAGCCCGAGUCUUCAACUGAGAAGGGUGGUGCAGUUGCUGAACCAAUCGGGCUUACUGAUGCUCAGAAAGCUCGUUUGGAAAGCCUUAUUAAUUACAGCCCAGUGAUGGUAUUCAUCAAAGGUACACCAGAGGAACCAAGGUGUGGGUUCAGUGGGAAGUUGGUCCACAUACUUAAGCAAGAGAAUAUUCCUUUCUCAAGUUUUGACAUCCUUUCAGAUGAUGAGGUUAGACAGGGGCUGAAAGUGCUCUCAAACUGGCCCAGUUACCCUCAACUGUACAUAAAAGGUGAGCUGGUUGGCGGCUCAGACAUAGUGAUGGAGAUGCACAAGAGUGGUGAGCUGAAGAAGGUUCUGUCUGAGAAAGGGGUUAUUCCAAAGGAAAGCCUGGAGGACAGAUUGAAGUCCCUGGUUUCCUCUGCACCGGUGAUGCUUUUAAUGAAGGGCACUCCAGAUGCUCCUCGUUGCGGCUUCAGUUCGAAGGUUGUGAACGCCUUGAAGAAGAAAGGGGUCAGCUUUGGGUCCUUCGACAUCUUAUCUGACGAGGAAGUUAGGCAAGGUUUGAAGACGUACUCCAACUGGCCUACCUUCCCCCAGCUCUACUACAAAUCGGAGCUGAUUGUGGG